AUUGAACGCUGGCGGCAGGCCUAACACAUGCAAGUCGAGCGGAUGAAGGGAGCUUGCUCCUGGAUUCAGCGGCGGACGGGGGAGUAAUGCCUAGGAAUCUGCCUGGUAGUGGGGGAUAACGUCCGGAAACGGGCGCUAAUACCGCAUACGUCCAGAGGGAGAAAGUGGGGGAUCUUCGGACCUCACGCUAUCAGAUGAGCCUAGGUCGGAUUAGCUAGUUGGUGGGGUAAAGGCCUACCAAGGCGACGAUCCGUAACUGGUCUGAGAGGAUGAUCAGUCACACUGGAACUGAGACACGGUCCAGACUCCUACGGGAGGCAGCAGUGGCGAAUAUUGGACAAUGGGCGAAAGCCUGAUCCAGCCACGCCGCGUGUGUGAAGAAGGUCUUCGGAUUGUAGAGCACUUUAUGUUGGGAGGAAGGGAAGUAAGUUCCUACCUUGCUGUUUUGACGUUACCAACAGAAUAAGCACCGGCUAACUUCGUG
rnacentral:rRNA from 1 species